UCCGCAGUAGCGCAGUGGUAGAGCUAUCGGCUGUUAACCGAUCGGUCGUAGGUACGAGUCCUACCUGCGGAGCCA
rnacentral:tRNA from 1 species